UUUGAGAGCGAGCCUGCUCGCGAAAGCGCUGUUUCAGUCAACCGGGAUGUUGAAUGUGCCGCCUUCGCGAGCAGGCUCGCUCCCACA
rnacentral:misc_RNA from 1 species